AACGAACGCUGGCGGCAUGCCUAACACAUGCAAGUCGAACGCUCCGCAAGGGGAGUGGCGCACGGGUGAGUAACACGUGGGAACCUGCCUAUUGGUUCGGAACAACGUUUGGAAACGAAUGCUAAUACCGGAUAUCCCCCGAGGGGGAAAGAUUUAUCGCCAAUAGAGGGGCCCGCGUCCGAUUAGGUAGUUGGUGGGGUAAAGGCCUACCAAGCCGACGAUCGGUGGCUGGUCUGAGAGGAUGAUCAGCCACACUGGGACUGAGACACGGCCCAGACUCCUACGGGAGGCAGCAGUGGGGAAUAUUGGACAAUGGGCGGAAGCCUGAUCCAGCAAUGCCGCGUGAGUGAUGAAGGCCUUAGGGUUGUAAAGCUCUUUCGCACGUGACGAUGAUGACGGUAACGUGAGAAGAAGCCCCGGCUAACUUCGUGCCAGCAGCCGCAGUAA
rnacentral:rRNA from 1 species